UACAGAGGUCUCGAGCGUUAAUCGGAAUCACUGGGCUUAAAGGGUGCGUAGGCGGCCCCGAAAGCGUCGUGUGAAAGCCCCUGGCUCAACCAGGGAACAGCACGGCGAACUACGGGGCUUGAGAAAACUAGGGGCCGACAGAACAGUAGGUGGAGCGGUGAAAUGCGUAGAUAUCUACUGGAAUGCCGAUGGUGAAGACGGUCGGCUGGGGUUUUUCUGACGCUGAGGCACGAAAGCGUGGGGAGCAAACAGG
rnacentral:rRNA from 1 species